rnacentral:lncRNA from 1 species
AAGGACAUCGGCGACCUAGCGCUGUUCAUCAGCGUGAACACCUCGCUCUGCAUGCCGGCAAGGGAGCGCCUGAGGAUCAGGGCCGACUGCGUCUACUACACGGAGGGCGAGCUCAGGCAGACCUCCGAGCGCCUGAACGUGGAGAGGUAUGAGGCAUCAUACCGUUCAUCCAUUAUUGACGGCUGCAACGACGAGCUGCGGGACCUCGGCGUGUAUGUGCUCAAGGACAGCACGGUGGAGAGGGUCUUUUUUAGAUAGGCACACUUACGAAAGUACAAGUUGUAGUACUUGAACUUACACAUAGACACACUUCACACACACCAUACAUACCCUUAUGCGCAAGUUAAGGUCUACAUUCUAUGCUCACACUCACGUACCUACCUUGAAGAGAUAGUUUCGGAUACCAGUUCUCAGCACGUGUUGAGGCUGCAACAAUCCAGAAAAAACCAUGAAAAAUCCCCCGAACUCCGGUUUCUGGAGGGGUUUGAAACUGGAAUCUCCUACUAAGACCGGUGCUACUUGGGCUUCUGGUGACCAACCCGUCCCAGGCCAGUUCGUGCACGGUGAUGAGGGUCGAGGGGCUCGAACGACACC